UACGUAGGGACCAAGCGUUGUUCGGAUUUACUGGGCGUAAAGGGCGCGUAGGCGGCGUGGUAAGUCACUUGUGAAAUCUCUGAGCUUAACUCAGAACGGCCAAGUGAUACUGCUGUGCUAGAGUGCAGAAGGGGCAAUCGGAAUUCUUGGUGUAGCGGUGAAAUGCGUAGAUAUCAAGAGGAACACCUGAGGUGAAGACGGGUUGCUGGGCUGACACUGACGCUGAGGCGCGAAAGCGUGGGGAGCGAACAGG
rnacentral:rRNA from 1 species